AGUUCUCUCUUUUGGUCGCUGGCGCCUGUUUCCUCAGAGCCACUUUUUCCUUUGUGUUGUCUGGUCGUUCACUACUUUGAGGGAAAAGAAUUUUGCCGUUCGCGUUCGAUUGACUCCGUCCCCAAGAUCCUGUAGCCCCACGGACCUGGCGACUCCACCGUGUUCGGGUCUUUCUAGGAACCCAAUCUGCCUUCAUGAAGAAAAGACAGAGGCAGAAAGGAAGAUGGCUUACUGCCUGACAAAUUGUUAUCAGUACUCCGUGACCUUUGAGGAUACAGCUGUGGACUUCACCCAGGAGGAGUGGAUUUUACUGGACCCAGUUCAGAGAAACUUAUACAGAGAUGUGAUGCUGGAGAAUUAUGAGAACGUGGCCAAAGUAGGAUUUCAGCUCUUUAAACCCAGUGUCAUCUCUUGGUUGGAAGAAGAAGAGUUGAGAACCUUGCAGCAAGGAGUUCUCCAAGACUGGGCAAUAAAACAUCAAACCAGUGUUUCAGCACUGCAGCAGGAGUUUUGGAAAAUACAAACUUCUAAUGGGAUACAAAUGGACCUGGUAACCUUUGACAGUGUGGCUGUGGAGUUCACCCAGGAAGAGUGGACUUUACUGGACCCAGCUCAGAGAAACCUGUACAGUGAUGUGAUGCUGGAGAACUACAAGAACCUGUCCUCAGUAGGUUACCAGCUCUUCAAACCCAGUCUGAUCUCUUGGCUGGAGGAAGAGGAAGAGUUGAGCACACUGCCAAGAGUUCUCCAAGAAUGGAAAAUGUGCCUGAAAACCAAAGGGCCAGCCCUUUGGCAAGAUAAUUUUUGUUUAAAAACAUUAAAUGGGAUACAGUUGGCAAGAAACCAAAAUGGAGAGGAACUCUAUGACUGUAAGCAAUGUGAAGAUGUCUUCUGUAAACAUCCAUGCCUUAAGACCAACAUGAGUACUCAAAAUAGAGGCAACACGUCUGAAUGUAUUCAGUAUGCAAAAGACCUCCUUUCUCUAUACAAUAAAACCUCUACCAUAAGGAAAGUUUCUGUGUUCAGUAAGCAUGGAAAAUCUUUCCGCCUGAUUUUAAAUGUUCAGGUCCAGAGAAAGUGUACACAAGAUAAAUCCUUUGAAGGCACUGACUAUGGGAAAGCCUUCAUUUAUCAGUCAUACCUUGAAGCACACAGGAAAACUCAGAGUGGAGAAAAACUCAAUGAAUGGAAGCAAUGUGGGGAAGCAUUUACUCACUCCACAAGCCAUGCUGUAAAUGUUGAAACACACAUUAUUAAAAACCCCUAUGAAUGUAAGGAAUGUGGAAAAGAUUUUAGAUACCCUACCCACCUUAAUAAUCACAUGCAAACCCACAUUGGGAUAAAACCUUAUAAAUGUAAGCACUGUGGCAAAACCUUCACUGUGCCGUCAGGCUUUCUUGAACAUGUACGAACUCACACUGGAGAGAAGCCCUAUGGGUGUAAGGAAUGUGGUAAAGCCUUUGGUACAUCUGCAGGCCUUAUUGAACAUAUAAGAUGUCACGCCAGAGAGAAAACCUUUAAAUGUGACCACUGUGGGAAAGCCUUUAUUUCUUACCCAUCUCUUUUUGGACAUUUGAGAGUUCAUAAUGGAGAGAAGCCAUAUGAGCAUAAGGAAUAUGGGAAGGCCUUUGGUACAUCCUCAGGUGUUAUUGAAGAUAGAAGAAGUAACACAGGACAGAAACGCUUUGAUUGUGACCAGUGUGGGAAAGUCUUUGUUUCUUUCUCAUCUCUUUUUGCUCAUUUGAGAACUCACACUGGUGAGAAGCCCUUUAAGUGUUACAAAUGUGGGAAACCAUUUACCUCUUCUGCCUGUCUUCGUAUUCACAUGCGAACUCACACAGAAGAGAGACUCUAUCAAUGUAAGAAAUGUGGUAAAGCUUUCACUAAGUGCUCAUAUCUUACCAAACAUUUACGAACACACGCUGGAGAGAAACCCUAUGAAUGUAUGAAAUGUGGGAAAGCCUUCACUGAGCGCUCAUACCUUACUAAACAUUUACGAAGACACAGUGGAGAGAAGCCAUAUGAAUGUAAGAAAUGUGGAAAAGCCUUCACAGAACGCUCAGAUCUUACUAAACAUUUACGAAGACACACUGGAGAUAAGCCCUAUGAAUAUAAGGACUGUGGGAAAGCCUUUGUUGUCUCCUCCAGUCUAGUUGAUCAUUUAAGAACUCACACUGGAUAUAAACCCUAUAAAUGUAAUGCAUGUGAAAAAGCUUACAGUAGGUCUUGUGUACUAACUCAACACUUAAAAACUCAUGCAGCAGAGAAGACCUCUGAAUGUAACGCAUGUGGAAAUUCCUUUCGAAAUUCCAUGUGCUUUCAUGAUCGCUUAAAAACUCUCACCAAAAUAAAACCCUAUAAAUGUAAGGACUGUGGGAAAGCCUUCACUUGUCAUUCAGAUCUUACUAAUCAUGUGCGAAUUCACACUGGAGAGAAGCCCUAUAAAUGUAAGGAAUGUGGGAAGGCCUUCCGUACAUCCUCAGGACGUAUUCAACAUUUAAGAACUCAUAUGGGAGAGAAACCCUUUGAAUGUGACCAGUGUGGGAAAGCCUUUGCUUCUUUCUCAGCUCGUAUUGCACAUUUGAAAACACACUAGAGAGAAGCCCUGUGGAUGUGAAGAAUGUGGAAAAACCUUUGCUGUUUCCUCAAGCCUAACUGAACAUGUAAAAAUUCACAGGAGAAAGUAACACUAUCAAUGAGGAAACUGUUUAUCCUACCAACACUCAACAGGAGGGGAUUAUACCAAGGCAUACCAGAGUGCAGGACUCAUAAGCACCAUCUCAGAAUUCUGCCUACUAUACAGGGAAAGGUGGAGUAAAUGCAGUUAUCCUGUCUGUCCCACUGAAUGUCCCACCUGGACAGAAUGCAUCAGCUAUUUGAAGAAUCUGAAAAGUAAAUAGCAGCAGGGAGAUGGAAAAAAAAAUCAGCGUUCAAAGUACCACCAAGCAGGCACCUCCAAGCAAUCCUGUGGUGGCAAUGAGACAUACCAUAGACUUUGAGAGCUGGAAUGUGAGAUAGAUGACCUUCUGUGUAGUCUAGCCUCC